UGGGAAAUGGAUUUUGUAAUGGCGCUGCUAUAUUACUUGAUAUCAGGUUGGGUAUUAUCCAUAUGAAUCUGGAGAGUACUCCCAAUCGUUAUGGAUCACGUCAACAUCUACGGGUGCCAUUCAAAUAUACAUACAUGUAUCCUACGUGCUUACUCGCCAACCCACGUGUACGGCGGUAUAUUUCUACACACCAAUCUUACGUACGAGGCCUGGCACUUUUUGGUGUUCAAGGUGGUGAACGAAUUCUAAUUCUAUUAAUAUACGCUUAUGUCGAUGCAAAUCUUAGCCCACAUAGAAGGCCGCCUUUGGUGUUGAAUCAUCUCAGGUGGUGACCAAAUCUGCCAGUUGACACGCAUACAAUCUAGGCUUACAAUCAUCCGUACGAGGGCGUAUUUUGGUGUUAAAUUUGGUGAGCAAAUCUCCUCCAAUCCCCUAAUAUAUAUAUAUAGCGCGCAUCACCCAACUACACUGUCCGGAUUCAGGUAGGGGAAGCUUGAGUAGAUAUGGCACUGUGCAUCACUGUCGUGCGUGGGAGGAAAUUGGCGGUUUGGAUAGCCGGAGGAAACUGCAUCAUCCACAGUAGAAGUAGGAAGACUAGCAGAUUCUUGGAAUAUUCAGCAUACAGGUCGUUAU
rnacentral:lncRNA from 1 species